rnacentral:rRNA from 1 species
CCUACGGGAGGCUGCAGUGAGGAAUAUUGGUCAAUGGACGAGAGUCUGAACCAGCCAAGUAGCGUGAAGGAUGACUGCCCUAUGGGUUGUAAACUUCUUUUAUAAAGGAAUAAAACGAGGCACGUGUGCCUUUUUGCAUGUACUUUAUGAAUAAGGAUCGGCUAACUCCGUGCCAGCAGCCGCGGUAAUACGGAGGAUCCGAGCGUUAUCCGGAUUGAUUGGGUUUAAAGGGAGCGUAGAUGGGUUUUUAAGUCAGUUGUGAAAGUUUGCGGCUCAAACGUAAAAUUGCAAUUGAUACUGGCAGUCUUGAGUACAGUUGAGGUAGGCGGAAUUCGUGGUGUAGCGGUGAAAUGCUUAGAUAUCACGAAGAACCCCGAUUGCGAAGGCAGCUUACUAAACUGUGACUGACAUUGAUGCUCGAAAGUGUGGGUAUCAAACAGGAUUAGAUACCCCGGUAGUC